rnacentral:rRNA from 1 species
AUUGAACGCUGGCGGCAGGCCUAACACAUGCAAGUCGAGCGAGCGGCGGACGGGUGAGUAAUGUAUGGGUAUCUGCCCGAUAGAGGGGGAUCACUACUGGAAACGGUGGCUAAUACCGCCUACUAUCGGAUGAACCCAUAGGGGAUGAGCUAGUAGGUGGGGUAAAGGCUCACCUAGGCGCCGAUCUCUAGCUGGUCUGAGAGGAUGAGCAGCCACACUGGGACUGAGACACGGCCCAGACUCCUACGGGAGGCAGCAGUGGGGAAUAGUGCACAAUGGGCGCAAGCCUGAUCCAGACAUGCCGCGUAUAGGAAGAAGGCAUUAGGGUUGGAAAGGACUUUCAGCGGGGAGGAGUUACCCGAAGAAGAAGCACCGGCUAACUCCGUGCCAGCAGCCGCGGUAAUAC